ACGCUCGACACCUACGGGAGCAGCAGUGAGGAAUAUUGGUCAAUGGGCGCAGGCCUGAACCAGCCAAGUAGCGUGAAGGAUGACUGCCCUAUGGGUUGUAAACUUCUUUUAUAUGGGAAUAAAGUUUUCCACGUGUGGAAUUUUGUAUGUACCAUAUGAAUAAGGAUCGGCUAACUCCGUGCUAGCAGCCGCGGUAAUCUGAGCGGGCUGGCAAGGC
rnacentral:rRNA from 1 species